rnacentral:rRNA from 1 species
AACGAACGCUGGCGGCAGGCCUAACACAUGCAAGUCGAGCGAGGACUUCGGUCCUAGCGGCGGACGGGUGAGUAACGCGUGGGAACGUGCCCUUUGCUUCGGAAUAGCCCUGGGAAACUGGGAGUAAUACCGGAUGAGCCCUUUGGGGGAAAGAUUUAUCGGCGAAGGAUCGGCCCGCGUUGGAUUAGGUAGUUGGUGGGGUAAUGGCCUACCAAGCCGACGAUCCAUAGCUGGUUGGAGAGGAUGAUCAGCCACACUGGGACUGAGACACGGCCCAGACUCCGACGGGAGGCAGCAGUGGGGAAUCUUAGACAAGGGGGGAAACCCUGAUCUAGCCAUGCCGCGUGAGCGAUGAAGGCCUUAGGGUUGUAAAGCUCUUUCAGCUGGGAAGAUAAUGACGGUACCAGCAGAAGAAGCCCCGGCUAACUCCGUG